UUUUUUUUUAGUAGUAGAGGGGAAACAACCGUCUCCCGCAAUUUAUUGAAACUGAAAAGAAAUUACAAAACGGUAGGCGGGUGAGCCUCGGAAACGCAGUUCCUCGGACAUCCUCCCUUACAAUCUCCUCCACCAAUGAGGGAGCUAAAUCAAACUAAUGAAUACCUAAAGAUAGAUUAAAAGCAUAGUUCGCUAACCCGUCUGCAAGGCUGUUAGCCUCCCUAUAUACAUACGGUUAGCUUCUCUGUUUUAGUUUGAUGUUAUUAGUUUUUGAUUUAUU
rnacentral:sRNA from 1 species